UUUUUUUGAGACAGGUUUUUCUAUCUAGCUCUAUCUGUCCUGGACCCUUCUCUUUAGACCAGACUGGACUUGAACUCACAGAGAUCCACCCACCUCUGCUUCCCAGCAUCAUUAUCACCACCCAGCUGUCCAUGAAUUUCUUACUGCAACAUUCACUAGCAUCAAUAUCAUAGUCACACUUAAAUAAACCCCUUUAUAUUUUAGAGUCUUUCAGUACUAAUUUCACAGGAAGGACAAAGGAUGUCCACAGGCCACCAUGAUCACAUGUGAACACCUCCCAACUAUCGACACUCUGCCCGAGUGGCACCUUUUGUGAACGUGCUGUGACACAUCCUUAUCAGUCAAAGCCCACAGUUCACAUCUGGGAGUCAGACUCCAUGUUGUCCAUUCUGCAGGUUUGGACAAAGUCUCUCAUGACAUGAACACAGCCCUGUGUGUUAUAUAGAGUAGUUUCACUGUCUUAAAAUUUCAUCUAACUCUUCCCACCCACCCCUUCACUAAUCCCAGGCAGCCACUGAUCUUUUAAUGUCAACACAUUUUUUUCAUAAUGUCACAUGGUUGUAAACAAACUGUGCAGCUCUUUCAGAUGUCUGCUCUCUUCUUACUCAUGUGCAUCCAAAGCUCUGUGCCCCUUCAUGGCUCAGUGGCUUUUUGGAGAGGGGCAGGGGUACUAUAUAUUUCUCAGGAUAUACCAGAGUAUAACCAUUUGCCUAUUGAAAUACAGUUUGAUCACUUGAAAACUUUGGCAUUUACAAACAAAGCUGCUUUAAACAUCUGUGUGGAUUUGGGUGGAAAUGGUUUUCAGUUCCUUUGAGUGAAUGUGGAAGAACACACUUGUUUGUAUGGAAGGAGUAUUUUUAGUGUUGUGAGAAAUAUCCAGACUGGCUUCCAAAGUAUGGGGCCCAUUCUUGAGCCAUGCUGAAAUGGUGUUUUGUUGUUGUUUCAUUUUUGUUUUUGUCAUUGAAAUCUAUCUGUUCAUUUUUAAUUAUGCAGAAAACAACUGGCUUUUGCAUAUUAGCCUUGAAUUUUGUAACUCUUCCACGGACAUUUAAUAGCUUCAUGAGGUUUUCUUUUGAUGAAUUUUUAAACUUCUCUGAACUUUUGUUUUUAUUUUAGCCAGUCUGCUGGUGAUUCCUAAAUGAUUAGAUGC
rnacentral:lncRNA from 1 species